rnacentral:rRNA from 1 species
CGGAGAGGGCGCAUGAGACAUUGGCCCAGGCCCUACGGGGCGCAGCAGUCGCGAAAACUCCGCAAUGCGCGAAAGCGUGACGGGGCUACCCCGAGUGCCGUCCGCUGAGGAUGGCUUUUCCCCGGUGUAAUGAGCCGGGGGAAUAAGGAGAGGGCAAGUCUGGUGUCAGCCGCCGCGGUAAUACCAGCUCUCCGAGUGGUAGGGACAAUUAUUGGGCUUAAAGCGUCCGUAGCUGGCUUGGCAAGUCUCCUGUUAAAUUCAGCGACUUAAUCGUUGAGCCGCGGGAGAUACUACUAGGCUAGGAGGCGGGAGAGGCCGACGGUAUUCCCGGGGUAGGGGUGAAAUCCUAUAAUCCCGGGAGGACCACCAGUGGCGAAGGCUGUCGGCUAGAACGCGCUCGACGGUGAGGGACGAAAGCUGGGGGAGCGAACCGGAUUAGAUACCCGGGUAGUCCCAGCCGUAAACGAUGCGGGCUAGGUGUUGAGGUGGCUACGGGCCACUUCAGUGCCGCAGGUAAGCCAUUAAGCCCGCCGCCUGGGGAGUACGGCCGCAAGGUUGAAACUUAAAGGAAUUGGCGCGGGAGCACCACAAGGCGUGAAGCUUGCGGGUUCCUUGGAGUCAACGCCGGGAACCUUACCG